CGGCCCGGUCGCCGACGAGCUUGGGCCGGACGUUGGGGUCGUACGAGACGAGCGUGCCGGCACUCCGGGCGGCCC
rnacentral:tRNA from 1 species